GACGAACGCUGGCGGCGUGCUUAACACAUGCAAGUCGAACGGUGAAGGGAAGCUUGCUUCCCGGAUCAGUGGCGAACGGGUGAGUAACACGUGGGCAAUCUGCCCCAGACUUUGGGAUAACUACUCGAAAGAGUAGCUAAUACCGAAUAUUCAGCCUUGCAGGCAUCUGCGAGGCUGGAAAGUUUCUCGGUCUGGGAUGAGCCCGCGGCCUAUCAGCUAGUUGGUGAGGUAAUGGCUCACCAAGGCGACGACGGGUAGCCGGCCUGAGAGGGCGACCGGCCACACUGGGACUGAGACACGGCCCAGACUCCUACGGGAGGCAGCAGUGGGGAAUAUUGCGCAAUGGGCGAAAGCCUGACGCAGCAACGCCGCGUGCGGGAUGAAGGCCUUCGGGUUGUAAACCGCUUUCAGCAGGGAGGAAGCGAAAGUGACGGUACCUGCAGAAGAAGCACCGGCUAACUACGUG
rnacentral:rRNA from 1 species